AUGGAUUGGAACCCUCAAGUGCUUUGUUGGAACAUGAGGGGGCUUAGCAACCCCGCUAAAAGGAAUGUAGUCAGGGAGUUUGUGGUAGCGGCUAAGGCCAAUCUUGUAUGUCUUCAAGAAACUAAACUUGAAGUCUUUGACCAUUAUUUGGUAAUGCAAUGUAUUGGGCCAUCGUUUGAUGGUUUUGCCUACCCGCCUGUGUCGGAAACUAGGGGUGGCAUCCUUUUGGGGUGGGAUAGCUCAUACUUGGUGAUCAACAACAUUACUCGGGAUAUUAACUUCCUCUCGGGCUUGGUUCGGAAUAAAGAUGGCUCAGAAUGGUGGUUGUCGGUAGUGUAUGGACCUCAAGGGGAUGAGCUUAAAACUCAGUUUCUUAUGGAACUUCAGCAUAGAAGGGACGUGUCACCGGGCCUCUGGAUUGCUAGGAGACUUUAA
rnacentral:rRNA from 1 species